rnacentral:rRNA from 1 species
UGGGGAAUAUUGCACAAUGGGCGCAAGCCUGAUGCAGCAACGCCGCGUGAACGAUGAAGGUCUUCGGAUCGUAAAGUUCUGUUGCAGGGGAAGAUAAUGACGGUACCCUGUGAGGAAGCCCCGGCUAACUACGUGCCAGCAGCCGCGGUAAUACGUAGGGGGCUAGCGUUAUCCGGAUUUACUGGGCUUAAAGGGUGCGUAGGUGGUCUUUCAAGUCGGUGGUUAAAGGCUACGGCUCAACCGUAGUUAGCCUCCGAAACUGGAAGACUUGAGUGCAGGAGAGGAAAGUGGAAUUCCCAGUGUAGCGGUGAAAUGCGUAGAUAUUGGGAGGAACACCAGUAGCGAAGGCGGCUUUCUGGACUGCAACUGACACUGAGGCACGAAAGCGUGGGUAGCAAACAGG